AACAUCUCAGAAUCGCAUCUGGAGAGUUUCCAGUACUCUAUCAGCCUCGGCUAAGGGAGGGAGAAUCAAGCAGAGACAUACCCAUUCCAUUCCUAGCUUGGACAGUGGCUAGCGAGUGGAAGGCAAUCUACUACAAGU